UUAAGAGAGGGAGGAGAGACGCGCGACUGCGCCGGGAAAUUAUUACAGAUCGGUGAGACAUAACGCCGACAUACGGUACAAGUUACACCGGAGAACGCAAUACCAGAGGCACGUUUCGUCUGUAGAACGAAGCGCCGGGUUGCGUCAGCAUUUGACACAAAAUCUUGGGAGGGGAAGAGUUUGACAUUAAAUCAGUUUGCACUCGCUCAAAAGUUUUUUCAUUAACGCUCAUCAGCGCGAAACUAAAAUGUUUUCUUUUAUCUCUACGAUGAAAAUGAAAAGCAACUUUUGCGAAACUACUCGAAAAGAGAGAUACAUGUAUUCUUUUUAAUCAGCGCGAAUGAAGAAAUCUUGAUGCGAUUUUCACCGGCUCUGGCUUGUUUCAAGUUCUCAACAAAGUUCUUAAACAAAUCUACUUCUAUUGCCUCUAAUAUCUAAAAUUCGUAACGAUAUUUUCUUCUGAAGAUCAAGUAUCUUAUUUGAUGUUGCUAAGGCAAUUUUGAAAAUAUAUAAAGGCUUGGCGGUAAACUCGAGGAUGAUGCGAAAUUAUUUGCAAUGGAUAUGAAAUAUGAAUUGUUUGCGCAUAAUUCUCCGCAUAAUUACUGAUUAGAGGAUUGCGUCACGAAACGCGUGGUGAGGGCCCGAGCGACAUUCGUCGUCUUUCGUCCCGGAAUGCUCAUCGAGGUAGAUAGGUAGGUUUCAGAGACGGCGCAGUCUCGGUCGAAGCUUCGAGACGUUCGACCUCGUUCGGCCAUGUAUGCAGUAGCCAGUCCUGUCUUCUCCGUCUCUUCGUUUCACAUCCAGAGCCGUAGAAGUCUCAAAUCAUUCCUUCCUCCUACAUCUCUGGUUCUUUUUACGCUCGUACUUACAAUUAAUGUCUAUUUAAAGUCCUACGAUUGAAAUAGACGAUUUUUGGCUUGACGUAUAAGUCAUCAUUAGUGUAUAAACUUUAUGUCUUUCUUUUUAUCCCAGUUAUUUGAUUUCAUAUGAUGUAUAAGAGUAAAAAGAAGAUCUCCCAAAAGAAGAAGAAUAAACGAAUUUUUUUUUUUUUU